UGGUUGAAGGCAGCUGAUCUGUUUCGAAUCCUGUGUGUCCGGAGAGGCCAACGCUUUCAUUAGCCAGCAGGAAUGGGCUGGGGCGCGUUUGUAGUUGGGAAUCCUGAGCCCGGGCUGUUGCUUGGAGGACUCGGGAGCAGCAGUGGAUUUCGGCGUUACCAGGAGAGCUAUGUAUAGGAAUGCCGCUAUGGAAAGACAUCCAGGACACCUUGUUAAGUGAAAAAAGACAUGCCACCAUUAGGGCUUCAUUUCCCUGCAGUCUUCUUUAAAUACCAAAACUGCCCUGGGAAGGAUAAGACAUCAGUUUCUUCAUACUUCAGAGCAAAUGGGAUUGAUUCCCAGGACCUCCUUUCUGUGGACUGGGUUUUUGCCUCCUCACCAAGAGACUGGGCUCCCUGGGCGAGCAGAGGCUGCUGGGUUCAGUAUCUGAACACUUUUGCUAAAGGUCUCUGGAAAGCUCCCUGUGUUAAUUCUCGAUGAGACUACGUCUGUGCCGGCCGCUUCCUGAGCCUCCUUCCAUGUGCAUAGGCCUGCUGCAUGCUGGAGACCUGCGGCACAGCUGCCAAGUGCCCCGUGUGGUUCUGUGAUCUUGGGACAGUCACUUCCUCUCUGUGGUUGUCAGUCUUCUCAUCCCUAAGAUGGAAUAAAAAGGCCUACCUCAUUGGGCUCGUGUGGGUGAGGAGAACUGAAGAGUCUGAGAGCGCGGCACGAGCCAGAGGCUACGGAAAACACUGCCCUCCUACACUCCACCUUGGAGAGACCCAGAAAAGAACAAGCUUCAUUUGUAAAAAAGGAAAACAACUCAGGCAAUGGGGGUGGCUUAAAGGCACUCUACAGUGUGCAGAUGCCUUCCACUUCUUCCAUCUGCCCUGUCUCUCCAAGAACCCCUAUGGCCCCGGUCUCAGAACAGAGCUGAGUGCAGAAAUGAAAAUCUAUGGCUCUGUGUUCCAAAACGAUGAAGAAUUUCAAGAUGGUGGCAGUGGUAAAAUCUUUCUCCAGGAAAAAUCUGUCCUUGGCCCAAUGUGUAAACACUUGCUGAGUAUUGUGAAACCAGCAACUUGUUCACAAUUCUUCUGAAUUUCUUGGGAAAUUUGAAGUGGAGUACCUGUACCAACAUGAAAUGACACGAAUUUAAGUGACGCUCAACAACGAAAAGCAAAAAGAACCAAAGAGGAAGCAACUGAAACAACAUCUGGAUGUAUUUAAAAAUAUACAAUGCCUCCAAAAUCAGGUGUCAUUAAUGAAAAUUCUGAAGAAAUGCCACCGGACAUAGCCAACGCACCUACGCUGUUGUUAUUCAUUUCCUGCUUUUCACAGAAAACAAUUUUGUUGCAUGGAAGAUCGUGAACUUCAAAGGGCAGAGGGGAAACUGUCCCUUGGCCUCUACCCCUCCAAGGCCCCACUUUUUUGUCAACACUCCUUGGACGCAGCAGAAGUAUGAACAUAAUAUGGUCCUGAAUGAGGCUGAGUCUUUGGGCGCAGAAGACCCGGGUUAAUAAAAAUAGGAAGGUAAGAAAAGAAAAGAAAAAUCAAGACACAUCAUAGGACUAAAUUCCUAUUAUUUAUCCACUCAGGAUUGACCACCCCUUUGGGCCAGAUAGUUGUACCCCCAUGUACCAGGUGGGCACAUGAAGACACAAGAAGUGCUGUGAUGGUUCAUUUUGCACGUCACCUUGCGUGGAGUAUGCCAACUCAUUGUUUGGUCAAACACUAGUCUGGACAUGGUGGUAAAGGUAUUUUUUAGAUGAGAUUAACACUUAAAUCAGUAAAGCAGGUUACCCACCAUACUACGGGUGGGCCCUGUCCAAUCAGUUGAAGGCAUUAAGAACAAAGAUUGAGGUUUCCUAAAGAAGAUGGAAUUCUCCUUGAGACUACAACAUAGAAACCCUAUCUGAGUUUCCAGCCUGUUGCCCUGUGGAAUUCAAACUCAGGACUCCGGUCUAUGACAUUAACCCUCACUUAACUUUUCAGCCUGCCAGCCUGCCCUAUGGAUUUCGGACUUGCCAGCCACACAAUUCCUUAAAAUAAAUCUCUCCGUCUCUGUCU
ensembl:lncRNA DRAIC downregulated RNA in cancer, inhibitor of cell invasion and migration